UACGUAGGUGGCAAGCGUUGUCCGGAUUUACUGGGUGUAAAGGGCGUGUAGCCGGGCUUACAAGUCAGAUGUGAAAUCCGGGGGCUCAACCCCCGAACUGCAUUUGAAACUGUAGGUCUUGAGUAUCGGAGAGGCAGGCGGAAUUCCUAGUGUAGCGGUGAAAUGCGUAGAUAUUAGGAGGAACACCAGUGGCGAAGGCGGCUUACUGGACGGCAACUGACGCUGAGGCUCGAAAGCGUGGGGAGCAAACAGG
rnacentral:rRNA from 1 species